ACUUGAUGAUGUGGGAAUUUACACAGUAGGUCCCUAAAAUGCUCCUAAGACUCAAAAAAUUACUCACUGUCUAUUUGUGAGAAACUAGUGACGGCCUUUCUAAAUU